rnacentral:rRNA from 1 species
AUGCAUGUCGAACGGAGUUUACUCGCUGAUGAAGCUUCGGCAGAAUCUUGAGUAAACUUAGUGGCGGACGGGUGAGUAACGCGUGGGCAACCUGCCUCAUACUGGGGGAUAACAGUUGGAAACGACUGUUAAUACCGCAUAAGCGCACAGAGUCGCAUGACUCAGUGUGAAAAACUCCGGUGGUAUGAGAUGGGCCCGCGUCAGAUUAGCCAGUUGGCGGGGUAACGGCCCACCAAAGCGACGAUCUGUAGCCGGACUGAGAGGUCGGACGGCCACAUUGGGACUGAGACACGGCCCAAACUCCUACGGGAGGCAGCAGUGGGGGAUAUUGCACAAUGGAGGAAACUCUGAUGCAGCGACGCCGCGUGAGUGAAGAAGUAUUUCGGUAUGUAAAGCUCUAUCAGCAGGGAAGAAAGGCUCGCAAGAGAGAUGACGGU